rfam:Camelus ferus unplaced genomic scaffold scaffold699, whole genome shotgun sequence.
GAGGGUAUAGCUCAGUGGUAGAACACAUGCUUAGCAUGCAUGAGGUCCUGGGUUCAAUACCCAACCUCC